AACAGGAUUAGAUACCCUGGUAGUCCACGCCGUAAACGAUGUCGACUUGGAGGUUGUUCCCUUGAGGAGUGGCUUCCGGAGCUAACGCGUUAAGUCGACCGCCUGGGGAGUACGGCCGCAAGGUUAAAACUCAAAUGAAUUGACGGGGGCCCGCACAAGCGGUGGAGCAUGUGGUUUAAUUCGAUGCAACGCGAAGAACCUUACCUACUCUUGACAUCCAGAGAACUUAGCAGAGAUGCUUUGGUGCCUUCGGGAACUCUGAGACAGGUGCUGCAUGGCUGUCGUCAGCUCGUGUUGUGAAAUGUUGGGUUAAGUCCCGCAACGAGCGCAACCCUUAUCCUUUGUUGCCAGCGGUUCGGCCGGGAACUCAAAGGAGACUGCCAGUGAUAAACUGGAGGAAGGUGGGGAUGACGUCAAGUCAUCAUGGCCCUUACGAGUAGGGCUACACACGUGCUACAAUGGCGCAUACAAAGAGAAGCGACCUCGCGAGAGCAAGCGGACCUCAUAAAGUGCGUCGUAGUCCGGAUCGGAGUCUGCAACUCGACUCCGUGAAGUCGGAAUCGCUAGUAAUCGUAGAUCAGAAUGCUACGGUGAAUACGUUCCCGGGCCUUGUACACACCGCCCGUCACACCAUGGGAGUGGGUUGCAAAAGAAGUAGGUAGCUUAACCUUCGGGAGGGCGCUUACCACGGUGUGGCCGAUGACUGGGGUGAAGUCGUAACAAGGUAACC
rnacentral:rRNA from 1 species